rnacentral:rRNA from 1 species
CCUACGGGAGGCAGCAGUGAGGAAUAUUGGUCAAUGGACGGAAGUCUGAACCAGCCAUGCCGCGUGCAGGAAGACGGCUCUAUGAGUUGUAAACUGCUUUUGUACAAGGGUAAACCUGAAUACGUGUAUUCAGCUGAAAGUACUGUACGAAUAAGGAUCGGCUAACUCCGUACCCGCAGCCGCGGUAAUACGGCGGAUCCAAGCGUUAUACGGGUUUAUUGGGUUUAAAGGGUUCGGUGGCGGAUUGAUCAGUUAGAGGUGAAAUGUCCGAGCUUAACUCGGGAACUGCCUUUAAUACUGUUGAUCUAGAGAGUAGGUGCGGUAGGCGGAAUGUAUGGUGUAGCGGUGAAAUGCUUAGAGAUCAGACAGAACACCGAUUGCGAAGGCAGCUUACCAAUCUAUAUCUGACGUUGAGGCACGAAAGCGUGGGGAGCAAACAGGAUUAGAUACCCCUGUAGUC